CGGACGGGUGAGUAACGCGUGAGAAUCUGCCAAAAGGACGGGGACAACAGGGGGAAACCGCUGCUAAAACCCGAUGUGCCGGAAGGUAAAAAAUUUAUUGCCUUUUGAUGAGCUCGCGUCAGAUUAGCUAGUUGGUGAGGUAAAGGCUCACCAAGGCGACGAUCUGUAGCUGGUCUGAGAGGACGACCAGCCACACUGGGACUGAGACACGGCCCAGACUCCUACGGGAGGCAGCAGUGGGGAAUUUUCCGCAAUGGGCGAAAGCCUGACGGAGCAAUACCGCGUGAGGGAGGAAGGCUCUUGGGUCGUAAACCUCUUUUCUCAGGGAAGAAGAAAGUGACGGUACCUGAGGAAUAAGCAUCGGCUAACUCCGUGCCAGCAGCCGCGGUAAUACGGAGGAUGCAAGCGUUAUCCGGAAUGAUUAGGCGUAAAGGGUCUGUAGGUGGUACUGUAAGUCUGCUGUUAAAGAAUCACGCUCAACGUGAUCAAAGCAGUGGAAACUACAGAACUAGAGUGCGGUAGGGGCAGAAGGAAUUCCUGGUGUAGCGGUGAAAUGCGUAGAUAUCAGGAAGAACACCGGUGGCGAAAGCGUUCUGCUAGACCGCAACUGACACUGAGGGACGAAAGCUAGGGGAGCGAAUGGGAUUAGAUACCCCAGUAGUC
rnacentral:rRNA from 1 species